CAAACGGCCCUUUUUAGGGCCACACAACAUGAUUUUGAGUUCUGUCU
rfam:Schistosoma haematobium scaffold146_26, whole genome shotgun sequence.